UACGAAGGGGGCUAGCGUUGUUCGGAUUUACUGGGCGUAAAGCGCACGUAGGCGGAUCGUUAAGUCGGGGGUGAAAUCCUGGGGCUCAACCUCAGAAUUGCCUCCGAUACUGGCAGUCUCGAGUGCGGGAGAGGUGAGUGGAAUUCCCAGUGUAGAGGUGAAAUUCGUAGAUAUUGGGAAGAACACCAGUGGCGAAGGCGGCUCACUGGCCCGUAACUGACGCUGAGGUGCGAAAGCGUGGGGGGCGAACGGG
rnacentral:rRNA from 1 species